UUCGUAGGUCUCGUUGGUGACCAGCGGAGGGAUCAUUACCGAGUUUACAACUCCCAAACCCCUGUGAACAUACCUUAAUGUUGCCUCGGCGGAUCAGCCCGCGCCCCGUAAAACGGGACGGCCCGCCAGAGGACCCAAACUCUAAUGUUUCUUAUUGUAACUUCUGAGUAAAACAAACAAAUAAAUCAAAACUUUCAACAACGGAUCUCUUGGUUCUGGCAUCGAUGAAGAACGCAGCAAAAUGCGAUAAGUAAUGUGAAUUGCAGAAUUCAGUGAAUCAUCGAAUCUUUGAACGCACAUUGCGCCCGCUGGUAUUCCGGCGGGCAUGCCUGUUCGAGCGUCAUUUCAACCCUCAAGCCCCCGGGUUUGGUGUUGGGGAUCGGCUCUGCCUUCUGGCGGUGCCGCCCCCGAAAUACAUUGGCGGUCUCGCUGCAGCCUCCAUUGCGUAGUAGCUAACACCUCGCAACUGGAACGCGGCGCGGCCAUGCCGUAAAACCCCAACUUCUGAAUGUUGACCUCGGAUCAGGUAGGAAUACCCGCUGAACUUAAGCAUAUCAAAGCCGGGAGGAAAACCCCAACG
rnacentral:rRNA from 1 species